rnacentral:rRNA from 1 species
UACGUAGGGUGCAAGCGUUGUCCGGAAUUAUUGGGCGUAAAGAGCUUGUAGGCGGUUUAUCGCGUCUGCCGUGAAAAUUCGAGGCUCAACCUCGAACUUGCGGUGGGUACGGGCAGACUAGAGUGUGGUAGGGGAGACUGGAAUUCCUGGUGUAGCGGUGAAAUGCGCAGAUAUCAGGAGGAACACCGAUGGCGAAGGCAGGUCUCUGGGCCACUACUGACGUGAGAAGCGAAAGCAUGGGGAGCGAACAGG